rnacentral:rRNA from 1 species
GAUGAACGCUAGCUACAGGCUUAACACAUGCGAGUCGCGGGGCAGCAUGGGGGUUGCUUGCAAUCCCCGAUGGCGACCGGCGCACGGGUGAGUAACGCGUAUCCAACCUGCCCUUCACCACGGGAUAACCCGGCGAAAGUCGGACUAAUACCGUAUGUUGUCCAUUGACGGCAUCCGAUUUGGACGAAAGGCUUGGCGGUGAGGGAUGGGGAUGCGUCCGAUUAGCCAGACGGCGGGGUAACGGCCCACCGUGGCUACGAUCGGUAGGGGUUCUGAGAGGAAGGUCCCCCACACUGGAACUGAGACACGGUCCAGACUCCUACGGGAGGCAGCAGUGAGGAAUAUUGGUCAAUGGGCGUAAGCCUGAACCAGCCAAGUAGCGUGCAGGAUGACGGCCCUAUGGGUUGUAAACUGCUUUUAUGCGGGGAUAAAGUGGCCCACGUGUGGGCUUUUGCAGGUACCGCAUGAAUAAGGACCGGCUAAUUCCGUG